UACGGGGGGGGGCAAGCGUUGUUCGGAAUUACUGGGCGUAAAGGGCGUGUAGGCGGCCAACUAAGUCCGACGUGAAAUCCCCAGGCUUAACCUGGGAACUGCGUCGGAUACUGGAUGGCUUGAAUCCGGGAGAGGGAUGCGGAAUUCCAGGUGUAGCGGUGAAAUGCGUAGAUAUCUGGAGGAACACCGGUGGCGAAGGCGGCAUCCUGGACAAUUGCUGACGCUCAGGCACGAAAGCGUGGGGAGCAAAAGGG
rnacentral:rRNA from 1 species